GACAGAGGUGCCAAGCGUUAGGCGGAAUCACUGGGCGUAAAGCGUGUGUAGGCGGCUUUGUAAGUACCUUGUGAAAUCCCACGGCUCAACCGUGGAACUGCUCGGUAUACUGCUUAUCUUGAGCCACUUAGGGGCUACCGGAACAAAUGGUGGAGCGGUGAAAUGCGUAGAUAUCAUUUGGAACGCCAAUGGUGAAAACAGGUAGCUGGGAGUGUGCUGACGCUGAGACACGAAAGCCAGGGGAGCGAACGGG
rnacentral:rRNA from 1 species